rnacentral:rRNA from 1 species
AGACGUCUACAUUAGAUACCCGGGUAGUCCCAGCCGUAAACUAUGCGCGUUAGGUGUAUCGGUGACCACGAGUCACCGAGGUGCCGAAGGGAAACCGUGAAACGUGCCGCCUGGGAAGUGCGGUCGCAAGGCUGAAACUUAAAGGAAUCGGCGGGGAGCACCACAACGGGUGGAGCCUGCGGUUUAAUUGGACUCAACGCCGGGAAGCUCACCGGAUAAGACAGCGGAAUGAUUGCCGGGCUGAAGACUCUGCAUGACUAGCUG